GGGCGAACGUUCUCCUCAGGCCACUGAGCACGCGCUCUGCCUCCGCUCGCCGCUGCCGUGUGGUGGCGCUGCGCGAGUAGACUAUGGGAAGCUCACGCUCAACAGCCUAGGGACUUUGGAAGGAGCUUGGAUGAAAGACCAGGAGCAGCAAAAGGUGACACCUACAGCCAUGCAAAGGAGUGAGUGGCUAAAGGAGCUCGACUACCGACCGGAAGCGUUUUCUGACCAUGCUGAAGAAGUGAUGCAGGACCCCUUUAAGGGAAAGAAAUGU